rnacentral:rRNA from 1 species
GGGAAUUACUGGGCGUAAGCGCACGCAGGCGGUCUGUUAAGUCAGAUGUGAAAUCCCCGGGCUCAACCUGGGAACUGCAUCUGAUACUGGCAGGCUUGAGUCUCGUAGAGGGGGGUAGAAUUCCAGGUGUAGCGGUGAAAUGCGUAGAGAUCUGGAGGAAUACCGGUGGCGAAGGCGGCCCCCUGGACGAAGACUGACGCUCAGGUGCGAAAGCGUGGGGAGCAAACAGGAUUAGAUACCCUGGUAGUCCACGCCGUAAACGAUGUCGACUUGGAGGUUGUGCCCUUGAGGCGUGGCUUCCGGAGCUAACGCGUUAAGUCGACCGCCUGGGGAGUACGGCCGCAAGGUUAAAACUCAAAUGAAUUGACGGGGGCCCGCACAAGCGGUGGAGCAUGUGGUUUAAUUCGAUGCAACGCGAAGAACCUUACCUGGUCUUGACAUCCACGGAAGUUUUCAGAGAUGAGAAUGUGCCUUCGGGAACCGUGAGACAGGUGCUGCAUGGCUGUCGUCAGCUCGUGUUGUGAAAUGUUGGGUUAAGUCCCGCAACGAGCGCAACCCUUAUCCUUUGUUGCCAGCGGUCCGGCCGGGAACUCAAAGGAGACUGCCAGUGAUAAACUGGAGGAAGGUGAGGAUGACGUCAAGUCAUCAUGGCCCUUACGACCAGGGCUACACACGUGCUACAAUGGCAUAUACAAAGAGAAGCGACCUCGCGAGAGCAAGCGGACCUCAUAAAGUAUGUCGUAGUUCGGAUCGUAGUCUGCAAUUCGACUACGUGAAGUCGGAGUCGCUAGUAAUCGCAGAUCAGCAACGCUGCGGUGAAUACGUUCCCGGGUC